UAGGGAAUCUUCCACAAUGGACGCAAGUCUGAUGGAGCAGCGCCGCGUGAGUGAAGAAGGUCUUCGGAUCGUAAAACUCUGUUGUUAGAGAAGAACACGAGUGAGAGUAACUGUUCAUUCGAUGACGGUAUCUAACCAGCAAGUCACGGCUAACUACGUGCCAU
rnacentral:rRNA from 1 species